rnacentral:tRNA from 1 species
GCGGGUGUAGUUCAGAGGUAGAACAUCAGCUUCCCAAGCUGAGUGUCGUGGGUUCGAUUCCCAUCACCCGCUCCA